AGGACGAACGCUGGCGGCGUGCUUAACACAUGCAAGUCGAGCGGUAAGGCCUCUUCGGGGGUACACGAGCGGCGAACGGGUGAGUAACACGUGGGUGACCUGCCCUCAGCUCUGGGAUAAGCCUGGGAAACUGGGUCUAAUACUGGAUAUGACUGCGCAUCGCAUGGUGUGUGGUGGAAAGUUUUUUCGGCUGGGGAUGGGCCCGCGGCCUAUCAGCUUGUUGGUGUGGUAACGGCUCACCAAGGCUCCGAUCGGUA
rnacentral:rRNA from 1 species